GAUGAACGCUGGCGGCGUGCCUAAUACAUGCAAGUCGAGCGAACAGACGAGGAGCUUGCUCCUCUGACGUUAGCGGCGGACGGGUGAGUAACACGUGGAUAACCUACCUAUAAGACUGGGAUAACUUCGGGAAACCGGAGCUAAUACCGGAUAAUAUAUUGAACCGCAUGGUUCAAUAGUGAAAGACGGUUUUGCUGUCACUUAUAGAUGGAUCCGCGCCGCAUUAGCUAGUUGGUAAGGUAACGGCUUACCAAGGCAACGAUGCGUAGCCGACCUGAGAGGGUGAUCGGCCACACUGGAACUGAGACACGGUCCAGACUCCUACGGGAGGCAGCAGUAGGGAAUCUUCCGCGAUGGGCGAAAGCCUGACGGAGCAACGCCGCGUGAGUGAUGAAGGUCUUCGGAUCGUAAAACUCUGUUAGUAGGGAAGAACAAAUGUGUAAGUAACUAUGCACGUCUUGACGGUACCUAAUCAGAAAGCCACGGCUAACUACGUG
rnacentral:rRNA from 1 species